rnacentral:rRNA from 1 species
CCUACGGGAGGCAGCAGUAGGGAAUUUUCCACAAUGGACGAAAGUCUGAUGGAGCAAUGCCGCGUGAGGGAUGAAGGUUUUCGGACUGUAAACCUCUGUUGUAAGGAAAGAAUAGCUUUUAUAGGAAAUGAUGAAAGUUUGACGGUACCUUACCAGAAAGUCACGGCUAACUAUGUGCCAGCAGCCGCGGUAAUACAUAGGUGGCAAGCGUUAUCCGGAUUUAUUGGGCGUAAAGAGUGCACAGGUGGUUUAUCAAGUCAGUUGUUAAAGCCCGGAGCU